rnacentral:rRNA from 1 species
UACGUAGGGGGCUAGCGUUGUCCGGAAUCAUUGGGCGUAAAGAGCGUGUAGGCGGCUCGAUAAGUCCGCUGUGAAAGUCCAGGGCUCAACCCUGGGAUGCCGGUGGAUACUGUCGGGCUCGAGUCCGGAAGAGGCGAGUGGAAUUCCUGGUGUAGCGGUGAAAUGCGCAGAUAUCAGGAGGAACACCAAUUGCGAAGGCAGCUCUCUGGGACGGUACUGACGCUGAGACGCGAAAGCGUGGGGAGCGAACAGG